rnacentral:SRP_RNA from 1 species
GCUGGGCACGGUGGCGCGCACCUGUAGUCCCAGCUACUCGGGAGGCUGAGGUGGGAGGACUGCCUGAGCCCAGGAGUUCUGGGCUGUAGUGCGCUAUGCCAAUCGGGUGUCCUCACUAAGUUCGGCAUCAAUAUGGUGACCUCCCAGGAGUAAGGGACCACCAGGUUGCCUAAGGAGGGGUGAACUGGCCAAGGUCGGAAACGGAGCAGGUCAAAACUCCCAUGCUGAUCAGCAGUGGGAUUGCCCCUGUGAAUAGCUACUGCACUCCAGCCUGGGCAACAUAGCGAGACCCCGUCUCU